AUUGAACGCUGGCGGCAUGCUUUACACAUGCAAGUCGAACGGUAAUAGGCCUUCGGGUGCUGACGAGUGGCGAACGGGUGAGUAAUGCAUCGGAACGUACCCAGAGGUGGGGGAUAACGCAGCGAAAGCUGUGCUAAUACCGCAUGUGAUCUGAGGAUGAAAGCGGGGGACCGAGCAGCAAUGUUUGGCCUCGCGCCUUUGGAGCGGCCGAUGUCGGAUUAGCUAGUUGGUGGGGUAAAGGCCUACCAAGGCGACGAUCCGUAGCUGGUCUGAGAGGACGACCAGCCACACUGGGACUGAGACACGGCCCAGACUCCUACGGGAGGCAGCAGUGGGGAAUUUUGGACAAUGGGCGCAAGCCUGAUCCAGCAAUGCCGCGUGCGGGAAGAAGGCCUUCGGGUUGUAAACCGCUUUUGGCAGGAACGAAACGGUGUCCGCUAAUACCGGGCGCUAAUGACGGUACCUGCAGAAUAAGCACCGGCUAACUACGUG
rnacentral:rRNA from 1 species